CACUCAGUGGUCAUUGUGAGCCUAGCAAGCUGCAGGCCCUGGGCUCGUCCCCAGCUCCGGGCAGUGGGGGCCCUUGGCAUCCACGGCUCAUGGAUCAGGUUGCUUCUACAAGUGGAAGCUAGGCUGCGGGGCCCAGCUCCCUCCACUGGGAAACAGCAUUCGUUUGGGAAGGAGGGUUACCUGCCCCAUGAACUCUCUGACCAAAUAAGAUGCACUGUGGUGCGCCUUUUAGCCCCGUGCGGGGGUAAAAGAUCAGUGGUUCUUCUCCCUGAGCCUCUCCAAACAGGUGCCAUGUUUUAAGACCUCGUCCACCCUCAGUGGCACACUCCACCUCCAAUCCACACACACGGGAGGACACGGCUACGUCUCAGUCUGGAUCCAGGAUGUUUCAUGCCAGUUGUUCAUCUGACUGUCAUUUAAACAUCCCUCACCUUCAUCAAAGAACCUGACACACAAUAGGUUGUCAAUAAAUAGGAAUGCGCGUUCAUGCAC
rnacentral:lncRNA from 1 species